GAGGGGGCCGCCGCCGCCCGGCUUGGUUCCUGUGCCGUGUCUGCUGUGACCCAGAGCGCAGGAGUCAGCCGGCGUGCGGGACUGGGUGUCGCGGUUUGUGAGGCAAGAAAUAAAUUGGAACACAGAUUUCUGUCAAAGCAAAGUUUUUGUUAAGUGCCUAAACCUGCAUGGUGUUGACUGCAUUUCAUCGGAAUCCUCAUUCAGAAGCCAUUGGAAACAUAAGACUGAUUCUGGUGAGGCUCUGGGACAUUUGAAAGUGAUUUGGAAAGAGCAAAGUCUGUGUCUAAUGGACACUGAACCAAAGCCAGUGUGUGUCAUGCAGCAAGCUCACUGCCCGGCAAUGAAGUGCCCUCCUUCAGAGGACUUUCCUCCUCAGGUAAGAUUGUCUGAAAAAAUCCCCCCAGUGAAGCCUUGCUUCAAGAAGAAGCAGCAAGUGCAGAAAAGAUUGGACACAGAAACUCUCCGGGCUUUGCGGCCAAUCUUCACCAGUUUGCUGGGAGCUGGAACCCUGGAUAGAGUCUUUGUGCCACGAGGCCAAAGUGGUGGUGAUAGUGAUUUAUGUGAACCUGCUGUGAAAAAGGCUCUGGAACUUGGUUCUUCUUGCCCCCAACCAGAAAGUAAUGUGACUGCGUUGAUGCCAACAGCUCCAGAUGUACAAAGUCAACUGCCCGUAGCUCAUCCUUCUGCAAGCAGGACGUCCAGUGCUGAGCAGGAUGUCCAGUCAGGAGAGCAAGGCUUCUCAUCAGAAACUACUCCUGGAACUGCUGCUAAUACUAGUAAUGAAUCAUUCCAGGAUCAUCCUUUGCAUACACCUUCUAGCGAUGCUGCAGCUUGUCCAUUGUUCCCAGACAAGAUUCUAGAAAGCUACACGUCUGGCUUAUUCCAGGAGAACAACUGUCCAAUGCAAUAUAAUUUGAACCCAAGUGAUAAAUUCAGUGCUGGGAUAUUCCAAGAUAAAAGUGAAGAAGCUUCUCUUGAUCUGGUAUUUGAACUCUUGAACCAACUGCAAUAUCACACCCAUCAGGAGGAGGGGGUAGAAAUCUGUGUGGAUUUUCUGCAGGGCACUUGUGUUUACGGCAGUGAUUGUCCCAAACAUCACACAGUGUUGCCAUAUCACUGGCAAGUGAGAAGGACAACAACUCAGAGUUGGCAAAGUGUGACCAAUGAUUCCCAGGAACAUCUGGAAAGACUCUACUGCAACCCUGACAAUGACAGGAUCAAAGUGAAGUAUCGGGGACAUGAAUUUUGGGUGGAUUUGAAUGUUAUGAAAUUAUAUGAAACUGUUGAGUUUGACCAGAUGCGGAGGUUAUCCACACCUUCCUGCCCCAGCUCCAGCUCGAACUACUACACAGUCUGGAAAUACUUCUGCAGGGACCACUUUGGUUGGAGAGAAUACUCUGAGCCCGUUGUAAGACUGAUAGAAGAAGCCAGCUGCCGGGGUCUGAAAGAGGUUCGGUUUGUUACCUGGCAUAAUCAGUAUAUCUUAAAUAUCAAAGACGGAUUCCAGCAAAAUGCAUGCUUCAGAAGAGAAAUCAAGAGGCGACCCCUUCUUCGUUCAUGCAUUGUGCUGAUGCCGUUUUUACAGACUUUAGGUGGCAAUUCUCCAGUUCCCUCUCCACCAACUGAACCAGUUCCUUCACAAGUCUUAUCUCCAACUGCUGUUACCUCUCCAAACUUCUACCCUGAGACUUGGAUUAGUAUGGAUCCAUCUCAGGACUUCAUCCAAGUGCCUGUUUCAAAGGAAGAUAAAAGCUAUAGAACCAUUUAUAAUCUAUUUCACAAGACUGUACCAGAGACCAAAUACAAAAUUUUGAAAAUUCUGAGAGUGCAAAAUCAGUUUCUUUGGGAAAAAUAUAAAAGGAAAAAGGAAUAUAUGUCUAAAAAAAUGACUGGACUUGACAGAAUAAUGAAUGAAAGGCAUUUGUUCCAUGGCACCUCCCAGGAUGUAGUGGAUGGAAUCUGCAAGCACAACUUUGACCCACGUGUCUGUGGGAAGCAUGCCACCAUGUUUGGACAAGGCAGUUACUUUGCCAGAAAGGCAGCUAUGCUUGGCUCAGGUGCUCUUCAGUGUGUUUAGUGGUGAUCUGGAAAAGAAAUACAAAAUCAUCAGUAAUAUUUGCAAGUGACCCAAAACCAGAAAUGAUAAAUAAUGAAAUAGGUCAGUCAUUCAAAGCAGCCUGUAUUGCUUGGUAAGGCGUUGGAGCAGCAAGACCUACAUUAGUACUACAUGCAGGUGCUUUCUCCUCAGCCUGGUCUGCGCUUUCAGAGUGCUCCAUCAAGACAGCCCAUGGCCUCAGCACCUGAUGUCCUGUAAGAACGGCUGUACUGGAUCGUGCCGAAGGUCCACCUGGCACUCUGCUGCCCCCAAUAGCAGAUGUUCGGAGGAGAGCACAAGAAACACAGAAGAGUAUGAAACCUUCUUGAGGCUCAGGUCAUGUCUAGUGAAAAAUCUUUGUAUCUUGUGGUCUGUCUUGUUUCUGUGAAGAUGCCCUCCUGUGAAGAAGAGGUCUCUAGACUGGCUGUAUGCAAUACCUAAGCUAAUGGAGCCUGAAGUGGCCCUUGAGAACCAUGUUUAGCCCAGCCCUGCCUGACUCCUGUGCAGGGCGCUCGACAGCAGUGCAACUAGCUGGGGACUCACGGGCCAGAGCAGCAGAGAAGGGAGAGCAGAGAAGACCCUUUACGGUCCCUGCCCCUUCCCCUGGCCGCAUGAACUCCGGCUCUUCAGCAUACCAGAGCGGAGCUGUGACAACGCUGCAGAAUUUGAAUGUGCUGCCUUCAGCCCCUAUAAGGAGACCCUUUAAUUCAUGCAGGAAAGCGGUAGACAGGCUUUUUUUUUGGCCAGAAUUCCUGUAUGUUAUUCCAGAAUGAAGUGGCAGAGAUACAUAUUGGAUCUGAGCGAAGGAGAUUUGCUGUAGUCCCUCAAAUGGUGCACUUCAAAAGGGGACAUCUUGCAGGCGUUUAUGAGCAUCUUACACAAAUGCUUUGAUAAAAACAUUACAGUUCAGCAAUGCUGUGCAGACUGCCCUGAACCUGCUUUGUAUUUUGAGCCUGGGUUGGGAAAGAGUGCCAGUUAACAGACUUCCAAACACAGUAUAGCUGAGAAGCUACACAAAAUCUUGAAAAACACUCUAGUAGGAUUACAGAAUCCCUUGAGGCAAGCCAUGAAAAGUUGACAGAGCUUUAGCUGGGCUUGGUGGUGGCUGCCCAGCACAGGAGCAGUACUGAUUCUCAUGGAGAAAUAGGAAAUUUGAACUAGGAGCAGGGAGCCCAUCUCCCUGCUACUAUUCCUUAGUAGCAAAUUCUCUUCUUUUAUGGUCCUCCCAGUGGGCACAGCCCAGCAGUGAGUUUCCAAACGAGUGUCUGCAUCAGUGGACUGUCCUGCCCUUUUGGGGGCUGUGGAUGCUCAGCACUUUGAAGAAUUCAACUCUAAGUGUUUAGGUCUGGAAGGGAAACACAUGAAUAAAGUCCCGAGUUAGAGAUGGCUGUUGUGAAAUUAUUGCCCCUUUGCUUUUAGAAAGGGCAGUCUUACCGUGCCGGUGCACAGCGUGCAAGGAGCACUUGGAAUUUGCUCUCUGCAAGGCAAUAUUUAUUUGCCUUCAUUCAGCUGAUAUAAAAAGACCCUGAAACUGCGGAGAAGGGAGCAGUUCCAACACCUGCUAUAAACAGCCAUUCCGGAGCUAUUGUCUUCUUGCAGGAACUUGUAUGUUUAGUAAAAUUUCCUAGGAAACAGCCUGGAGGAAUAGUAACUGGGCAUGUGGUACCUAAAUAUAAGAACUUAAAAUGAGUCUCAUGCCAAAAAAUAGAUAACGUAACGUACUGACGCUACUGAUAGCCAGAAGGAUUCAUGCCUGCCAAAAAUAACUUUGCUAAACUAAAGUCGCUGCGAAAUGAUACUAACAGGAAUAAUUGUACACCUUAACAGACCCUCUGUGCCAAGUUUCAGGCUCAUCCAUUUAAACAGUAGGCUACUGAAAAUAAGACUUUGCCAUGAACACAAUGGAAACAUUCUUGGCCAGAAUAUUGCACAGUAUCAUUCUUCAGUGUUUGUUACCUCCAGCCGGAGUGCUUCAGGUUACGACCGAUCCUGUCAGAGCCAGGAGAAAAGCAGUAGCAGCGUUUUUAUCAGCCCUGAGAAAGGGUAUCUCCGAAGGAGCACGGAGAGAGGGCUCGUAGUGCAGCAGGUGAGGUUCUGUCUGCGUCCUGAACCACGGCUCUGCCAAAACGCUCGUGCUAAGGAACAGCGGAAAAGCUGCAAAACCUCCUUGCAGGGGGCUCUGCCCCGUGGAGGGCCCGGGGCUUUCAGCCCCCGCUGUCCUCGCCUCCCUGCCCGGUGCUGCUGUGUCUUGCGAGUCACCGCGCCGCGUCCUGGGAGAGGCGCGUGCACUGCUGCGGCGGGCGUGAGGGGCGUUAGCCAGAAUCCAGGUCCUUUGGAUUUAUGUCCAACCACUAAAGCGAAGAGCUGCCUCGAAUCUGGAAGUGUACCUCAGAAGUCCCUGUAUGAAGGGAGACAUUCAGCUCCAGCUUCAAAAUCCCCCAAAUGCUCCGAAUCUGGGAUCUUCAGUUCUGCAGCUACUGUGUAUAAGGAUAGCCUGGGCCACUGCUGUCAUGUUAAUUUAUUUUAGGAGCUGGGAGGCAGGGUAAGAAUUUAAACAACUGUGAUAAUGUUGUGAAUCGGGCCUGUGUUUGUAAGGCAUUUUAUAUUCUUUUCUUCCUAAAAAAGUAAAUUCUGGUAUUUAAAUGCAAUGAUAUUUCAGCACUGCAGACUUGCAGGUUUUCUUCGUUUUGCAUGCCUAGACAAACCAUGUACAGAUGUACAAGAACUAGGACCUUUUUCAGAAAAAUCUUAAGCAACUAAAUUUUAUGCAAGAGUUCAUACUCUUGCCCAACAGGACAGCUUCUUAUUGCAAACACCUUCCUAGAACUCCUGUCAUGCCAAGUUGCAUGAAGGACUUGGUAAGGAAAUUUUCAGUAAAUACCAGUAUGGAAUCAAAUUCCUUGUUUAUUUCCCAUGAACUCAACUUUUGCUUUGUCGGACUAAAUGGCUUUAAUUUCACCCGGGUAAGUGUGAGGCCAGUAUGCUUACUGAUGCCUUUUCCAGAUAAUCUUUGGUUGUGAUCUCUGGAAGUCAGAAGACUCCUACUGAGAUGCAUCAGCUUCUUCCUCUCUCACUCCUGCACAGUUUCCAUUGCCAGAGCAUUAAGCAUGCGAAACAGAUUUUAGAAAUAUGCAAUAAAACUGUAGAAGUGUU